GGAGAUGUAGCUCAGUGGUAAAGCACCUGCCUAGCAUGCAUGAGGACCUGAGUUCAAUCCCCACCAUCACAU
rnacentral:tRNA from 1 species